AGAACGAACGCUGGCGGCAGGCCUAACACAUGCAAGUCGAACGCUCGUAGCAAUACGGGAGUGGCAGACGGGUGAGUAACGCGUGGGAACGUACCCUUCGGUUCGGAAUAACCCGGGGAAACUCGGGCUAAUACCGGAUACGUCCGCAAGGAGGAAGAUUUAUCGCCGAAGGAUCGGCCCGCGUCGGAUUAGCUAGUUGGUGAGGUAACGCCCACCAAGGCUACGAUCCGUAGCUGGUCUGAGAGGAUGAUCAGCCACACUGGGACUGAGACACGGCCCAGACUCCUACGGAGGCAGCAGUGGGGAAUAGUUGGACAAUGGGCGAAAGCCUGAUCCAGCCAUGCCGCGUGAGUGAAGAAGGCCCUAGGGUUGUAAAGCUCCUUCAGCGGGAAGAUAAUGAACGGUACCGACGGAAGAACGCCCGGACUAACUUCGUGCCAGCAGCCGC
rnacentral:rRNA from 1 species